AUUCAAACCAGGGAUGUUAAAGUUCAUUGGCAUUUUCCUUUGAUUGGGCCAAAAGAAGAUGGAAAUUGAUAAGAAAGAAAGAACCAGAGGGACAAAUUGUGCCUUGAGGGCCAGAUCUGCAAGUGGAUCCAUAUGGAGAAAUCUUUAUGUGUUGGGAACAUCAUUCAAGUCAACGGGACGCUGUGAGGGCACAGAAGCUUGCCAGGUCCAGGCUGCAAUUUGAAAAGUGUUUUGUGUUCCUUCAAGGUGGAAGGAAUUUUAUCUUGGACUUUGAGCUACAGGGAAGAAAUAAUCCAAUGGAUAGCUUAUCCAUACCACAGGUAUCAGAAGGAGUAGAAGUCCUAAUAGAUCUAAUUGUAUAAUAAAACUGAACGCAUUCCAGGCAGUGCUGGCCAUGCUGUGUAUGUCCAAGGGACAAGAUGACAAAUUCUUUUCACAAAAAAACCCCACGAAACCCUAUAAAUUGUUACUGAGUGAACUUGAAA
rnacentral:lncRNA from 1 species